ACUCAAAUGAAUUGACGGGGGCCCGCACAAGCGGUGGAGCAUGUGGUUUAAUUCGACGCAACGCGAAGAACCUUACCUGGGUUUGAACUGCAGGUGAUCGUCCUAGAAAUAGGAUUUCCCUUCGGGGCACCUGUAGAGGUGCUGCAUGGCUGUCGUCAGCUCGUGUCGUGAGAUGUUGGGUUAAGUCCCGCAACGAGCGCAACCCUUGUCCCUAGUUGCCAACGGGUUAUGCCGGGAACUCUAGGGAGACUGCCCCGGAAAACGGGGAGGAAGGUGGGGAUGACGUCAAGUCCUCAUGGCCUCUAUGUCCAGGGCUACACACGUGCUACAAUGGGCGAUACAAAGGGUCGCAAAGCCGCGAGGUGGAGCCAAUCCCAAAAAGUCGCUCUCAGUUCGGAUUGCAGUCUGCAACUCGACUGCAUGAAGUUGGAAUCGCUAGUAAUCCCGGAUCAGCAUGCCGGGGUGAAUACGUUCCCGGGCCUUGUACACACCGCCCGU
rnacentral:rRNA from 1 species